rnacentral:rRNA from 1 species
UGUCGUCAGCUCGUGUCGUGAGAUGUCGGUUAAGUCCGCUAACGAGCGCAACCCUCGUCGUAUGUUAUAUGUGUCAUACGAGACUGCCGGUAAAAAGCCGGAGGAAGGUGAGGAUGAUGUCAAGUCAGCAUGACCUUUAUAUCCAGGGCUACACACACGCUACAAUGGUCUGUACAAUGGGUAGCCAAGCCGCGAGGCGGAGCCAAUCCUGAAAGCAGGCCUCAGUUCAGAUUGCAGUCUGCAACUCGACUGCAUGAAGCCGGAGUUGCUAGUAACCGCAGGUCAGCAAUACUGCGGUGAAUACGUUCCCGGGUCUU